rnacentral:tRNA from 1 species
ACCAGGCUGGCUCAGUCGGAAGAGCAUGUGACUCCUGUUCACGGGGUUGUGAGUUCGAGCCCCAUGCUGGGUG